GCUCAGUUGGUUAAGCAGUUAAGUGUCUGACUUUGGAUCAGGUCAUGAUCUCACGGAUCAUGGGUUCGAGCCCCGUGUCGAGCU
rnacentral:tRNA from 1 species